rnacentral:tRNA from 1 species
GGAUUACCUAUAACCUUAGACUACGAAUCUAGGGGUCAGGAGUUCGAAUCUCUUCGGGCGCGCCA